GACGAACGCUGGCGGCGUGCUUAACACAUGCAAGUCGAACGGUAAGGCCCUUCGGGGUACACGAGUGGCGAACGGGUGAGUAACACGUGGGUGAUCUGCCCUGCACUUCGGGAUAAGCCUGGGAAACUGGGUCUAAUACCGGAUAGGACCACUGCCUACAUGGGUGGUGGUGGAAAGCUUUUGCGGUGUGGGUUGGGCCCGCGGCCUAUCAGCUUGUUGGUGGGGUGAUGGCCUACCAAGGCGACGACGGGUAGCCGGCCUGAGAGGGUGACCGGCCACACUGGGACUGAGAUACGGCCCAGACUCCUACGGGAGGCAGCAGUGGGGAAUAUUGCACAAUGGGCGCAAGCCUGAUGCAGCGACGCCGCGUGAGGGAUGACGGCCUUCGGGUUGUAAACCUCUUUCAGCACCGACGAAGCGCAAGUGACGGUAGGUGCAGAAGAAGGACCGGCCAACUACGUGCCAGCCGCCGCCGUAAAAC
rnacentral:rRNA from 1 species